GGUGACAAGUUUGGAUCGUCUGAGGAUUGCAUUCGACCUUUUCCUGGACUUAGGCAAUGAAGUUCGACACCUCUGCGUGUAUGAUUUCGCCGGAUUGGAGAACUUGUUCGGAUGAUUACGUUGUAAACUCAUGUGGAGCUCAAAAAGCUGCAAGAUUUUAGAAAAUUAAUUGUACAUGUUUUUUGCCGUGAUAUUAGAUGGACAUGAUGAGUAACUAUAUCUUUGUUGGUGGCUUGUUAUUGGUCUUUUGUAAUUUGGAUGACUACGUUAUCGGUCUUUUGUAAUUUGGUGGCUUACACAUUCUAUCAAAUUAAUGACAGCAAGU
rnacentral:lncRNA from 1 species